UUAACACAAACUGAAGGUGGCCGUACACGGUGCGAUUUUUGCUGUCGUACGAGCUCGCAGGCGAUUCUUUUCUCUCGGGAGAAAAUCGCAG